rnacentral:lncRNA from 1 species
CGGGACUGCGCGGAGGCGACUACAGACGUGUCGGGGGUCCGGGGCCUGUCGUGGCUGCUAAGCGCUCGGCGCCUGGCGCUGGCGCUGGCCAAGGCGUGGCCAACAGUGUUGCAAACAGGAACCCGAGGUGUUCACUUCACUGUUGAAGGAACAAGAGGGCAUCUGCUGAAGUUUCAGAUUCCAUUUCUGCUCAGUAUCCAGUAGUGGAUCAUGAAUUUGAUGCAGUGGUGGUAGGCGCUGGAGGGGCAGGCUUGCGAGCUGCAUUUGGCCUUUCCGAGGCAGGGUUGAAUACAGCAUGUGUUACCAAGCUGUUUCCUACCAGGUCACACACUGUUGCAGCACAGGUAAGAGAAAGAUGCCCCACUGUGCUCCCACUCCGUGCAGGUCCCGCGCAGCCUCGCACUUUCUACCUGGGCAGCCUCCUGCCUCCUCCCUAUGCUCCAGCCAUAUGGCCUCUUGCUGUGCCUUACUCAGCUCACCCUCUCAGGGGUCUCUCCCUGGAGCCUCUUCCCUGGGGACUUUGAAGGGCGGGAGCCUUGUUGUCACUCUUAAUUCAGACUCCAGUCACACUUGGGUUUACUCUGACCAUCUACCCUCCCCACCCACCCCUGCCACCCCAACACCUUAAGAAAAGGAGAUCAUCUAAAGAGGAGGAUUCAGAAUUUAGGUUGGGGAAGAAAAGGGCAAGGGUUUCAUUUGUCCCUGUGCUGCUGUCUUCUGGGACUCUCUGAGGGGUAAGACGGUGGUGGGCACACACAGCCAAAGGAAGUAGGGGUACAGGGGAGUGCGACUCUGAGUGUGGAGUUUAUUACUUGGCAGGAAGCACUUCUAAUCUUUAACACAUGCCCGUAAAUGCCGUUGGGAAGAUUUGUUAAUAAAAUUAUGUGGAGAGAUUCAUGGAGUACCUUUUCUGUG